UGUGCACCAGUGGGGUCCCUUGGCCCGGCCUGCAGGAUUGGGCCAAAACAGGCUCUCUGACAUCCCUCAAGGGGUCCCAGAUUGGGAGGGGGUGCAGGCCAGGCCGAGGGACCCCACUGGUGCACC
rnacentral:pre_miRNA from 1 species